rnacentral:rRNA from 1 species
AUUGAACGCUGGCGGCAGGCCUAACACAUGCAAGUCGAGCGGAUGAAGGGAGCUUGCUCCUGGAUUCAGCGGCGGACGGGUGAGUAAUGCCUAGGAAUCUGCCUGGUAGUGGGGGAUAACGUCCGGAAACGGGCGCUAAUACCGCAUACGUCCUGCGGGAGAAAGUGGGGGAUCUUCGGACCUCACGCUCUCAGAUGAGCCUAGGUCGGAUUAGCUAGUUGGUGGGGUAAAGGCCUACCAAGGCGACGAUCCGUAACUGGUCUGAGAGGAUGAUCAGUCACACUGGAACUGAGACACGGUCCAGACUCCUACGGGAGGCAGCAGUGGGGAAUAUUGGACAAUGGGCGAGAGCCUGAUCCAGCCAUGCCGCGUGUGUGAAGAAGGUCUUCGGAGUGUAAAGCACUUUAAGUUGGGAGGAAGGGCAGUAAGUUAAUACCUUGCUGUUUUGACGUUACCAACAGAAUAAGCACCGGCUAACUUCGUG